AACGUAGGUGGCGAGCGUUAUCCGGAUUUACUGGGUGUAAAGCGUGUGCAGGCGGACGGACAAGUGGUGUAUGAAAUCUUCAGGCUCAACCUGGAGCGGUUAUGCCAGACUGUUCGACUAGAGUGCGAGAGAGGGGCGUGGAAUUCCGGGUGUAGUGGUGAAAUGCGUAGAGAUCCGGAAGAACCCCAGAGGCGAAGGCGGCGCCCUGGCUCGCAACUGACGCUCAGACACGACAGCAUGGGGAGCGAACGGG
rnacentral:rRNA from 1 species